CCGUCUCUACUAAAAAUACAAAAAUUAGCCGGGCGUGGUGGCACGCGCCUGUAACCCCAGCUACUCAGGAAGCUGAGGCAGGAGAAUUGCUUGAAUCCAGGAGGCAGAGGUUGCAGUGAGCCGCCAUUGUGCCAUGGCACUCCAGCCUGGGCAACAGAGUGAGACUCUGUCUCAAAAAAAUAAAUAAAUAAAUAAAUAAAAUAAGGCAUUAUUGGUAGACCCCAAGGCAACACUAAGAAAAUAACUUUUAAAAAAUGUACUAAAAGAAAUGGGAAAGGAAUUAAAAUGGUAAACUACUAAAUUUUUUGAACAAAACAGGAGACAGCAGUGGAGGAACAAAGAAGAUAAGACAUACAGAAAACAAAGAGCAAAAAAGGAGAGGGAAUAUGUGAAUAUAAUGAAUAACAUUUUGUCAGUAAAUCAACUUACAUGAAAUGGACAAAUUCCUGGAAGAUAAAAACUACCAAAACUGACUCAAGAAUAAAUAGGCAAUCUGAAUAGACUCAUAGUAAGUGAUAAGAUUCAAUUAGUAAUUUGUAAAAACUACCUACACAGAAAAGUCCAGGCCCAGAUGACUUCACCAUUGAACUCUACUAAACAUUUAAAGAAGAAUUAGCCUGGGUGCAGUGGCUUAUGCCUGCAAUCCUAGCACUUUGGGAGGCCAAGGCAAGUGCAUCACUUGAGCUCAGGAGUUCGAGACCAGCCUGGGCAACAUGGCGAAAUCCCUUCUCUACAAAAAAAAAAAUUAAAAAAUUAGCCAGGCAUGGUGGUGUACACCUGUAGUCCCAGCUACUGAGGAGGCUGAGACAGGAAGAUUGCUUGAGCCCAGGAGGUCAAGGCUGCAGUGAGCCAUGAUCACACUACUGCACUCCUGCCUGGGCAACAGAGUGAGACCCUGUCUCAAAAAGAAGGAGAAGGGAGGAGAAGGAGAAGGGAGAAAGAGGGAGAAGAAGAAGAGGAGAAGGAGGAGGAAGAGGAAGGAGGGAGGAGGAGGGAGGGUGGAGGAGGGAGACGGAAAAGACGGAAGAGAAGGAGGAGAAGGAAAGGAAGGAAGGAAGGAAGGAAGAGAAAGAGAAGAAAAAGAAGAAUGAUUAGUGCCAAUUCUUCAUGAAUUCUUCCCAAAAAUAGAAGAAGGCACUUCCCAUCACAUUUUAUGAGGUCAGAAUUACCCUGAUGCUCAAACUGACCAAAGACAACAUGAGAAAACUACAGACCAAUAUCUUUCAUGAAUAUGGAAGCAAAUGUUCUCAACAAAAUACUAGCAAACCAAAUCCAGCAACAUAUGAAAAGAAUUAUACACCAGGACCAAGCAGGAUUUAUCCUGGGAAUGCAAAGAUGGUUUAACACCUGAAAAUUAAUGUAAUACAUCAUAUGAAUAGGACAGAAACUCAAAAAUGCUAUGAGUAUCUCAAUAGUUGUAGAAAAAGCAUUUGCCAAAAUGAAAUACCCUUUCAUAAUAAAAAAAAAAACCAACAAACUAGAGGCAGAGUGAAAUCUCAACAUGACAAAGGGUACCUACAGAAAAAAACCCAUAGUUAACGUCAUACUAAAUGGCAAAAGACUAGAAGCUUUCCCCCAGUUAUGGUCUGAAUGUUUGUGUCCCCCACAAGUUCGUAUGUUGAAACCUAAUCCCCAGUGGAAUAGUAUUAAGAGGUGCGACCUACCUAUGUAACAAACCUGCACGUUCUGCACAUGUAUCCAAGAACUUAAAGUAUAAUUAAAAAUAAAAAGAGGUGCAACCUAUAGAAAGUGAUUAUGUCAUGAUGGCAUCAUCCUCAUGAAUUUGAUUACUGCCCUUAUCAAAGAGGCCCAAGAGAGCUUGUUUGCCCCUUCUGCCAUGUGAGGAUUCAAUAAGAAGUUGCCAUCUAUGAGGCACAGACCAAACUCUUACCAGACAUUGAAUCUACUGGCACCUUGAUCUUGGACUUCCUAGCCCCCAGAGCUGUGAGCAAUAAAUUUGUGUUGUUAAUAAGUUACCCAGUCCAAGAUAUUUUGUUAUAACAGGCCGAACAGACUAAGACACCCCCUAAGAUCUGGAAAAGACAGGAAUGUCCUCUCUCACCACUUCUGUUCAACAUUGUAUUGGAGCUUCUAGCCAGGGAAAUCAGAAAAGAAAGAAAGAAAGAGAGAGAGAAAGGGAAAUAAAAGUUAUUGAAAUGGAAAAAUAAAAAUAUCUCUAUUUGCAGAUUUAAUGAUCUUGUAUAUAAAAAUCUCUAAGGAAUCCACUAAAAAACUAUUAGAACAACAAUGAGUUCUGUAAGGUUUCAGGAUACAAGAUUGACAUAUGAAAAUCAAUCAUAUUUCUUAAGCUUGCAAUGAAUAAUCCAAAAAUGAAAGUACGAAACCCAUUUACAAUAGCAUCAAAAAGAACAAAAUACAGUGGCUCAUGCCUGUAAUCCUAACACUUUGGGAGGCUGAGGCAGAAGGAUCGCUUGAGGCCAGGAGUUCAGAAUCAGCCUGGACAAUAUAGGGAGACCCUACUAAAGAUUAAAAGAAUUACUCGGCAUUUUGGGAAGCCAAGGCGGGCAGAUCACUUGAGGUAAGGAGUUUGAGACCAGCCUGGCCAACAUGGCGAAAACCUGUCUCUACUAAAAAUAUAAAAAAUAGCUGGGCAUGGUGGUGGGCGCCUGUAAUCCCAGCUACUCAGGAGGCUGAGGCAGGAGAAUCACUUGAAUGCUGGAAGCAGAGGCUGCAGUGAGCCAAGAUCAUGUCACUGCACUCCAGCUUGGGUGACAAAGACUGUGUCUCAAAAAAAAAAAAAAAAGAUUAACCAGGCAUGAUGAUGGACAUUUUUGGUCCUACCUAUUCAGGAGGCUAGGGCAGGAGGACCACUUCAGCCCAGGAGUUGGAGGUUGCAGUGAGCUGUGAUCACACCAGUGCACUCCAGCCUGGGCAACAGAGUGAGACCCUAUCUCUAAAAUACAUAAAAUAAAAUAAAAUACUUAGGAAUGAAUCUGACAAAGGAAGUGCAAAACUUAUACACUAAAAACCGUAAAAUAUUGUUGAAAAAAUUAAAUAAGCUAUAAAUGAAUUGAACAAAUUCCAUGUUCACAGAAGACUUAACAUUGUUAAGAUAGCAGUCUUCCCCAAAUUGACCUAGAUUCUGAUAAUGCAAUCCUUACCAGAAUCCCUGCCAACUUCUUUGUAGAAAUUGAGAAGCUGAUUUUAAAAUUCAUAUGCAAUUUCAAGGGACCCAGAAUAGCCAAAAUAAUGUUGAAUAAGAACUAAGAGGAGGACUCACACAUCUCAAAACUUACUUUAAAGCAACUAUAAUCAAGACAGUUAAGUAACUGCAAAAGGAUAGUAUAUAGAUCAAUGGAAUAGAAUUCAGAGUCUAGAAAUAAACCCAUACAUCUAUGGUCAGAUGACUUUCAGCAAGAGUGCCAAGACCAUUCAAUGGAGAAAGAACAGUCUCUUUAACAAAUAGUGCUGGGACAACUGCAUAGCCACAUGCAAAAGAAUGAAGUUGGACUCCUACCUGAGAAUAUAUACAAAAAUUAACUCAAAAUGGACCAAAGACAUAAAUUUAAGAGCUAGAUCCAUAAAUCUCUAAGAAGAAAACAUACGGCUAAAUCUUCAUGACCUUAUAUUUGACAAACUAUUUUUAGAGUUCACGCCAAAAGCGUAAGCAACAAAAGAAAGAAACAGAUAGAUUGGACUUCAUCAAAAUUAAGAACUUUUGUGCUUCAGAGGACACUAUCAAAAAAUGAAAAUCAACCCACAGAAUGGGAGAAACUAUUUGCAAGUCAUAUAUCUGAUCAGGGACUUGUAUCUAGACUGUAUAAAGAACUCCUUCAACUCAAUAAUAAAAGGACAAAUAAUCCAACCAAAACAUGGCAAAGGUUCUGAAUACACAUUUUAGGAAGAUAUACGACAGGCCAAUAAGCACAUAAAAAGAUGCUCUAAUCAUUACUAAUCAAGAAAAUGAAAAUCACAACCUUAAUAAGAUACCACUUUACACCCACUAAGAUCGCUGUCAUAAUAGAAACAACAAAAAAGGAAAAUAACAGUGUUCAUGAGAAUAUGGAGAAACUGGAACUCUUCUAAACUGCUGGUGGGAAGUAAAAUGGUACAGCCCCUUUGGAAAACAACCUGGCAGUUAAUCAAAUGAUUAAAGAGUUACCAUAUGACCCAGCAAUACCACUCCUAGGUAUAUACCUAACAGAAAUGAAAACAUGUCUACAUAAAAAUUUGUACACAAAUGCUCAUUGUAGGAUUCGCCAUAAUAGCCACAAAUUGUAAACAAACCAAAUUUUCAUCAGUUGAUGAAUGGAUAACCCAAAUAUGAUAUAUCCAUACAACUGAAUAUUAUUCAGCCAUAAAAGUCAAUGAAGUACUGUUAAAUGUGACAACAUAGAUGAUUCUUGAAGCAUGUUAAGUGAAAGAAAAGCACUCACAAAAGCCCCAUAUUUUAUUAUUCUGUUUUUACAAAAUGCCCAGAAUAGGCAAAUUCAUAAAGACAGAAAGUAGAUUAGUGGUUUCCUAGUGCCAAAGGGAUAAAAGAAUGAGGAAUGACUGCUAAUGGGCAUAGGAUACCUUUUUUGAAUGAUGAAAAUGUUCUUAAAUUAGAUACUUGUGAUGAUUGCACAACUUUGUGAACAUACUAAAAAGCCACUCUGUCAUACUCUAUAACGUGGUGAAUUUUGUGGUAAAUGAAUUAUACCUCAAUUUUAAAAAGUUAUAUUCAGGGUAACACAACAGAAUAAGGAACAUCUACAACAUAUCAUUAACAAUCCCUGGAUACAAUCCCAAAUAACUAGGCAUACUAGUAAACCAGAAAAAGUGACCUUUACUCAGAAGACAAGCAAUAGCUGUUGAGCCUCAGAGCAUACCAGAUGGUAAAUGACCAAAAAAAGGAUUUUAAAACUGCAGUUAUAACUAUGCCCAAAGAGCUAAAGGGGAAGACAAAGUUUAUAAUAAAUAACCAAAUAGAAAAUCUCAAUAGAAAACAAUAUUUAAAAAAAAACAAAAACAAUAACAAAAAAUGGAAAUAUGAGACCAACUUAUAUAAUAAAAAAUUCACUGGAUGUGUUUAGUGACGGAUUGAGGUGACAGAAGAGUCAAUGAACUUGAAGUUCAUAGAAUAGAAAAUAUUCAACCUUAAAUACACGAAGAAAAAGAAAAAAGAGCCGGGUGCGGUGGCUCACGCCUGUAAUCCCAGCACUUUGGGAGGCCGAGGCAGGUGGAUCACAAGGUAAGGAGAUGGAGACCAUCCCGGCUAACACGGUGAAACCCCGUCUCUACUAAAAUUACAAAAAAAUUAGCCGGGCGUGGUGGUGGGCGCCUGUAGUCCCAGCUACUCCGGAGGCUGAGGCAGGAGAAUGGCGUGAACUUGGGAGGCGGAGCUUGCAGUGAGCCGAGAUGAGCGAGACUCCAUCUCAAAAAAAAAAAAAAAAAGAAAGAAAAAAGAAAGAACAGUGCCUUGUGGACUUGUGGGACAAUCAUUAAGAGUUCUAACGCUAAACUAAUUCUAAAGGGACAGGAAAGAGAGAAUAAAGGAGAAAAAUUACUGGGUUAAAUAAUGGCCCAAACUCCCUAAAUUUGGUAAAAGACACAAAUUUAUAGAUUCAAGAAGCUAAGUGCACUCCAACCAGAAUAUGCAGAAAAGUACAUGUAGGCAUGUUUUACCUGCAGAAAUCCAAAGACACAAAUAUAAUAUUGAAACCACAAUGAAGGGGAAGAAAUGGCACACCACAUAGAGAGGAACAAUGACAGAAAUGAAUCUGACCUCUCAUCAGAAAGAAUGGAUGCUAGAGAACAGGUCAGUGAUAUUGUUAAAGUGCCGAAUGUAAAAAAAGUCAACCCAGAAUUCUAUAUCUACCAAAAAUAGUCUUCAAGGACAAAGUCAAAAUAAAGACAUUUUCAGAUAAAUCAUAUUUUUAAAAAUUUGUUGCUAGUGACCCUACAAUACAAAGUAUGCUAAUGAAUGUUUUUCCUGCUGAAGGAAAAUGAUAUCAGAAGGGAACUUGGGUCUUCAAAACAAAAUGAAGAGCACCAGAAAUUGUAAAUCUAUCUAUAAAUAUAAGAAUAUUCUUGCUAAAAAUUUGUUAAAAACACAUAUGACUAUUUAAAGCAAAAAUUAUAAUAUUACACCACGGGGUUUUUAACAUAUAUGGACAUAAUAUGCAUAUGACCACCAUAGCAUAAAUGACAGGACUUGGUAAUUGGCCCAUUUCAUUGAAAGCUUUUUACAUUUUAUUUAAUUUAGUUAUUUACUUUUUUUUUUUUUUUUUUUUUUGAGACAGGGUCUUGUUCUGUUCUGUUGCCCAGACUGGAGUGUAGUGGCUCUAUCAUGGCUCACUGCACUCUCAACCGUUCAGGUUCAAGUGAUCCUCCUGCCUCAGCCUUCUAAGUAGCUGGGACUAUAGGCACACGCCACCAUGCCUGGCUAAUGUUUUUCAUUUUAUUUUCGUAGAGACAGGGUCUCACUAUCUUGCCCAGGCUGGUCUAGAACUCCUGGCCUCAAGCGAUCCACCUGCCUCGGCCUCCCAAAGUGCUGGGAUUACAGACAUGAGUCACCACAUCUGGCAAUCUUACAUUUUAUAUGCUGUAUACACUGUUAACACUAAAAAACACUGUGAUAAAUUAAGAAUGUAUAUUGUGAUCCAGUGGCAGACAUUAAACAAUUAUAACAAUAAUGCAGAGGUAUACGUUAAAAGUCA
rnacentral:lncRNA from 1 species